rnacentral:tRNA from 1 species
AUCGAGAUGGCGCAGCGGAAGCGUGCGGGGCUCAUAACCCCGAGGUCCCAGGUCCCAGGAUCGAAACCUGGUCUCGAUA